UACGUAGGGUGCGAGCGUUGUCCGGAAUUAUUGGGCGUAAAGGGCUCGUAGGCGGUUUGUCGCGUCGGGAGUGAAAACGCCGGGCUUAACUCGGUGCUUGCUUUCGAUACGGGCAGACUAGAGGCAUGCAGGGGAGAACGGAAUUCCUGGUGUAGCGGUGAAAUGCGCAGAUAUCAGGAGGAACACCGGUGGCGAAGGCGGCGACCUGGACAAGUACUGACACUCAACUACGAAAGCGUGGGGAGCAAACAGG
rnacentral:rRNA from 1 species